AAAGCACGACCAACCAUGCACAAUAUCCAUUUAAAAGAAAGAGUGCUGCACGAAAUACACUACCUCCAGGCGUUUUCGGUCAGAUUCUACUGAUCUAGCACGUAGAAAGUACUGAGUGGGCUGGAAAAAGGAAGACCUCCCAUCUAAGGAACUUAUAUAAAAGGCUGAAGUCAUAGUGCUCGUCCUACAUGAGGAAUCCCAGCAGACCAGAAAGACCAACAAAUGGGGAUGAGGAGUUUAUGAGGUUCAAGGAGAUAACAUUCUUGGAUCGGGAAGGCUAAGACGACGAUUCAGAUUGACUGAAUCUCAUGUUUACGUUCCAGGCCAAAGGGUUCUGGAUAGGUUAUUUCAAACUCCUGUGCAUUCUCACUCUUCAGAGAGAUGUCUGAAGUCCAGAAGUGCAUACAGCAGCAGCCCAGCUGGCUGGAAAUAACACUUUCCAAAACCAUUCUCUAAGACCUGACCUCAAAGGCCAGAGGCGUUCAAGCAGUUGAGCUAUGAAAUCACGCAGCUGUGUCUAUGGGAGCCCCACGUUGUCCCUUGGUUUACUCGGCACAUGGAAGUUCACAGCACUUAAGUUUUGGGCAAAGCAACCACUUAUUCAGAGCUUCAUCUCUGCUUUGAGGAGCGUAUGCGUCCCGUCUUCACAUAUUUGGCCAAGGGCAAGCUGCCUGGCAGCCUCCAUGCCUCCUGAAGGCGUUCUGAAGUGGGCAGAUGUAAGAGAGAGGGCAAGGAGACUCUUCCCUCUGUUAUCAACAAGGAGAACAGCUGACGAUCCCCACCAGCGAGCAAGCCCACUCCAUCAGCGCUUACGAGCGAUUGCACAGAAGUCAAAGCCACCUGUCUUGGAAACAUUCACGCUGAAAGACUGAAAUUCCACGUCCUGUUGCCAGGUAACAAGUGCUGCCAAGCUCCUGUGAAACAGCAGCUCGCAGGACCACGAGCCCCACUGCUGCUGCCACACGUAACACACAUAAAGCGGGGGCAGGAGGCGGCUCCUUGGAAAGCAAGGCAAGCUCCCCGUUACCAAACAGACUUAACAGCAUUAAUGCAUCAGCACGAGCACUGCUACCUACAGCCAUAACUGCAACUGUUACUCGCUUGCCAGAAGAAUAUUUAAAACCUGGCUGCUUAUGAAGAACGAGGUCAAUAAAUCAACAGCUACGCUACGGACACAGCAAGCCCGUGCAGCUCCAGGGCAUCCCAGCACAGAGAUGCCUGGGCACAACACCUCAGUUUACUUGUCCUGUGUGAAUAGGAUGGCAGUGCAGCCACACAGCACGAGGUCACAGAAUGCAGCCUUGUAACCAGCCAGCACACCCGUGCUGUACCUGCUGCUGCAAAUGAGGACUGUUACAGCAUACUGCAACAGGAAUGGCUCACGUCAGUGUUUACGGACAGCAGGGUGGUGACAUCAGCUCUGUGGGAAGGGAAGAAGGAAACGCUCCCCAGAGGCUGAUGGGCACCACAGUGGGACACUGAAGCUGAGGAAUGCACUCAGCCCCUCGCCCUGCCCUAGUGGGACCCAGGCCAGCACAACCCUGAAGGCACAAGAAAAGCGAAGAGACUCGGUGUUUAGCAGGUACGUGAUCAAAAACAAACGUUAACACCAAAACUGGGAGAAACCCGUGCCAGGGAGACUGCUCAGAGCUACCUGCAGCUAGCAUGGCAAAACUUCCAUUGUGGUAAUAGCCUUGGAAUGCAGCUACACUCGGCAUGACAUCAAAAUCUGUAAAUGAAAUCCAAGGAGAAUCAGAAAGUGGAAGUAGAGAGAAUUCUGGCAGCUUCACACCAGAUAACAUUAACCCUGCACGUGCAGCUCACAGGACCACUUCUGCUCUCUGUCAAGGCCCUCAAAAGCUUCCCCUUCCUCUGUCAUCCACAUGGGAGGUUCAGAGGCUAUCAGCUAACAAACAAGUCCUUCUGCUUUU